rnacentral:rRNA from 1 species
GAUCAUUGUCGAAACCUGCAAGGCAGACCGCGAACACGUGUUUAACCCCGUCGCGGAUCCGACGAGGGGGGCACGCCGUGACCCCCUGGCCGGCCGCGACCCCCCGCCGGCAUGCCCUCGGGCGCGCCGUGCGGGCUAACGAACCCCGGCGCGGAAAGCGCCAAGGAAAACGAAAAAACGAUGCGCCCUCCCCCGUUCGUGCCCCGUUCGCGGUGCGUACGGGCGCGGGGAAGGUCGCGCAUCAUGAACGAUGUCAAAACGACUCUCGGCAACGGAUAUCUCGGCUCUCGCAUCGAUGAAGAACGUAGCGAAAUGCGAUACUUGGUGUGAAUUGCAGAAUCCCGUGAACCAUCGAGUCUUUGAACGCAAGUUGCGCCCGAAGCCUUCGGGCCGAGGGCACGCCUGCCUGGGCGUCACGCAUCGCGUCGCCCCCUCCUCCUGCUCCCACGGAGCGGGCGGGCCGGGGGCGGACACUGGCCUCCCGUGCGCUCCCGUCGUGCGGCCGGCCCAAAAGAGAUCCCCCGGCGGCGCCAGUCGCGACCAGUGGUGGUUGAAUCCUCAACUCGCGUGCUGACAGUCGUGCCGAACGGCGUCGUCCGGCCGGGCAUUACCCGUCGACCCAACCAGCGCUUUCGGCGCUUUCGACCGCGACCCCAGGUCAGGCGGGAUUACCCG